GACGGAGGGGCUAGCGUUGUUCGGAAUUACUGGGCGUAAAGCGCACGUAGGCGGAUUGUUAAGUCAGAGGUGAAAUCCCGGAGCUCAACUUCGGAACUGCCUUUGAUACUGGCAAUCUAGAGUCCGGAAGAGGUUAGUGGAAUUCCCAGUGUAGAGGUGAAAUUCGUAGAUAUUGGGAAGAACACCAGUGGCGAAGGCGGCUAACUGGUCCGGUACUGACGCUGAGGUGCGAAAGCGUGGGGAGCAAACAGG
rnacentral:rRNA from 1 species